rnacentral:rRNA from 1 species
GACGAACGCUGGCGGCGUGCUUAACACAUGCAAGUCGAACGGAAAGGCCCUGCUUUUGUGGGGUGCUCGAGUGGCGAACGGGUGAGUAACACGUGAGUAACCUGCCCUUGACUUUGGGAUAACUUCAGGAAACUGGGGCUAAUACCGGAUAGGAGCUCCUGCUGCAUGGUGGGGGUUGGAAAGUUUCGGCGGUUGGGGAUGGACUCGCGGCUUAUCAGCUUGUUGGUGGGGUAGUGGCUUACCAAGGCUUUGACGGGUAGCCGGCCUGAGAGGGUGACCGGCCACAUUGGGACUGAGAUACGGCCCAGACUCAUACGGGAGGCAGCAGUGGGGAAUAUUGCACAAUGGGCGGAAGCCUGAUGCAGCAACGCCGCGUGCGGGAUGACGGCCUUCGGGUUGUAAACCGCUUUCGCCUGUGACGAAGCGUGAGUGACGGUAAUGGGGAAAGAAGCACCGGCUAACUACGU